rnacentral:rRNA from 1 species
CCUACGGGAGACAGCAGUGGGGGAUAUUGCACAAUGGGGGGAACCCUGAUGCAGCGACGCCGCGUGGGUGAAGAAGCGCCUCGGCGCGUAAAGCCCUGUCAGCAGGGAAGAAAAUGACGGUACCUGAAGAAGAAGCCCCGGGUAACUACGUGCCAGGAGCCGCGGUAAGACGGAGGGGGCAAGCGUUAUCCGGAUUUACUGGGUGGAAAGGGGGCGGAGGGGGCGAUGCAAGCCAGGAGUGAAAGCCCGGGGCCCAACCCCGGGACGGCAUUUGGAACGGCGUGGCUGGAGUGCAGGAGGGGCAGGCGGAAUUCCUGGUGUAGCGGUGAAAUGCGUAGAUAUCAGGAGGAACACCGGUAGCGAAGGCGGCCUGCUGGACUGCAACUGACGUUGAGGCCCGAAAGCGUGGGGAGCAAACAGGAUUAGAUACCCCAGUAGUC